rnacentral:tRNA from 1 species
GGUUCCAUAGUGUAGUGGUUAGCACGUCGCUUUACACGUAGAAGGUCAUGGGUUCACGCCCCAGUGGAGCCA